CCUACGGGGGGCUGCAGUCGAGAAUCAUUCACAAUGGGGGAAACCCUGAUGGUGCGACGCCGCGUGGGGGAAUGAAGGUCUUCGGAUUGUAAACCCCUGUCAUGUGGGAGCAAAUUAAAAAGAUAGUACCACAAGAGGAAGAGACGGCUAACUCUGUGCCAGCAGCCGCGGUAAUACAGAGGUCUCAAGCGUUGUUCGGAAUCACUGGGCGUAAAGCGUGCGUAGGCUGUUUCGUAAGUCGUGUGUGAAAGGUGCGGGCUCAACCCGCGGACGGCACAUGAUACUGCGAUACUAGAGUAAUGGAGGGGGAACCGGAAUGCUCGGUGUAGCAGUGAAAUGCGUAGAUAUCGAGAGGAACACUCGUGGCGAAGGCGGGUUCCUGGACAUUAACUGACGCUGAGGCACGAAGGCCAGGGGAGCGAAAGGGAUUAGAUACCCCUGUAGUC
rnacentral:rRNA from 1 species